rnacentral:rRNA from 1 species
GACGAACGCUGGCGGCGUGCCUAAUACAUGCAAGUAGAACGCUGAAGGAGGAGCUUGCUUCUCUGGAUGAGUUGCGAACGGGUGAGUAACGCGUAGGUAACCUGCCUGGUAGCGGGGGAUAACUAUUGGAAACGAUAGCUAAUACCGCAUAAUAUUGACUAUUGCAUGAUAGUCAGUUGAAAGGUGCAACUGCACCACUACCAGAUGGACCUGCGUUGUAUUAGCUAGUUGGUGGGGUAACGGCUCACCAAGGCGACGAUACAUAGCCGACCUGAGAGGGUGAUCGGCCAAACUGGGACUGAGACACGGCCCAGACUCCUACGGGAGGCAGCAGUAGGGAAUCUUCGGCAAUGGACGGAAGUCUGACCGAGCAACGCCGCGUGAGUGAAGAAGGGUGUCGGAUCGUAAAGCUCUGUUGUAAGGGAAGAACGAGUGUGAGAGUGGAAAGCUCACACUGUGACGGUAUCUUACCAGAAAGGGACGGCUAACUACGUG